rnacentral:rRNA from 1 species
UUGACGGAGAGUUUGAUCCUGGCUCAGGACGAACGCUGGCGGCGUGCUUAACACAUGCAAGUCGAACGCUGAAGGCCCAGCUUGCUGGGUUGGAUGAGUGGCGAACGGGUGAGUAAUACGUGA